CAUGUUUUAUGAAAUAUAUUAAUAGGUUUAUAAGUGGAAUACAUAUAUAUAUAUAUAUAUAGGUCGGCCAGAUUGGCCGCUUGCAAAUGCUUUGGCUUGCCAUUUUUUCAUUCUGGAGGUCCAGGUUCGAGUUUUGGGUCAAAGCCCAUGAAAAUAUUGAUAUUUCUCAAGGGAUCCAGGCCCAACUUGUCAAUUCCCGUUCUCCACCAUCCGGCCGACCAAUCCGCAGAGGUGGAGCCUGUAGAAAACUUUGUUUCGCCCCCUCCCACUUAGUGAGCGUCCAGAAUAGAAAGUGGCCUCAUCUGUUGACAAAAAAAUGAGCAGUCGUUUUCUAACGACGAUUAUUAGAAAGUGAUAACAAUUCAGAACAUCGUCGAUCAAAAAUUGUUGGAUCCAAAAACUUUUUAAUAAAUUUUUUAAAAAAUUUAUGUAAUUGACAUUUAUUACAUCAUUAUUUAUUGAAGGAUUAGAUGUAACAAUUAUCGAUUUUAAUAUAUAAUAUAUAGUACUACUAAAUAAAAUUAUGUAUUGGUGAC
rnacentral:lncRNA from 1 species